GACGAACGCUGGCGGCGUGCUUAACACAUGCAAGUCGAACGAAGUGGCGAACGGGUGAGUAACGCGUAAUCAACCUGCCCUUCAGAGGGGGACAACAGUUGGAAACGACUGCUAAUACCGCAUACUGAAGGAGGGGAUUGCGUCAGAUUUGCUAGUUGGAGGGGUAACGGCCCACCAAGGCGAUGAUCAGUAGCAGGUAUGAGAGGAUGAACGGGCUCAAUGGGAAUGAGACACGGCCCAGACGCCUACGGGAGGCAGCAGUGGGGAAACUUCCGAAAUGGACGAAAGUCUGACGGAGCAACGCCGCGUGAGUGAUGACGGCCUUCGGGUUGUAAAGCUCUGUUAAGCGGGACGCGGUACCAGAAUAGAAAGCCACGGCUAACUACGUGCCAGCAGCCGCGGUAAUUC
rnacentral:rRNA from 1 species